GACGAACGCUGGCGGCGCGCCUAACACAUGCAAGUCGAACGAGCGAGAGAGAGCUUGCUUUCUCGAGCGAGUGGCGAACGGGUGAGUAACGCGUGAGGAACCUGCCUCAAAGAGGGGGACAACAGUUGGAAACGACUGCUAAUACCGCAUAAGCCCACGGUGCCGCAUGGCACAGAGGGAAAAGGAGCAAUCCGCUUUGAGAUGGCCUCGCGUCCGAUUAGCUAGUUGGUGAGGUAAUGGCCCACCAAGGCGACGAUCGGUAGCCGGACUGAGAGGUUGAACGGCCACAUUGGGACUGAGACACGGCCCAGACUCCUACGGGAGGCAGCAGUGGGGAAUAUGGCACAAUGGGGGAAACCCUGAUGCAGCGACGCCGCGUGGAGGAAGAAGGUCUUCGGAUUGUAAACUCCUGUUGUUGGGGAAGAUAAGGACGGUACCCAACAAGGAAGUGACGGCUAACUACGU
rnacentral:rRNA from 1 species